UACGAAGGGAGCAAGUGAUGCUCGGAAUGACUGGGCGUAAAGGGUGCGUAGGCGGCUACAUAAGUCAGGUGUGAAAUCCUCGGGCUCAACCCGAGAACUGCAUUUGGUACUGUGUAGCUUGAGUUCGGUAGAGGAAACGGGAAUUCCUAGUGUAGAGGUGAAAUUCACAGAUAUUAGGAGGAACACCAAGGGCGAAAGCAAGUUUCUAGGCCGUUACUGACGCUGAGGCACGAAAGCGUGGGGAGCAAACAGG
rnacentral:rRNA from 1 species